GGGUUAACCGGGAGGAAGGUGGGGAUGACGUCAAGUCAUCAUGGCCCUUACGCCUAGGGCUACACACGUACUACAAUGGUGGGUACAAAGGGCAGCGAAACCGCGAGGUCGAGCGAAUCUCAAAAAACCCAUCAUAGUCCGGAUUGCAGUCUGCAACUCGACUGCAUGAAGUUGGAAUCGCUAGUAAUCCCGGAUCAGCAUGCCGGGGUGAAUACGUUCCCGGGCCUU
rnacentral:rRNA from 1 species